GCCUGUGUAGCUCAAUUGGCAGAGCACAUCCGUGGUAUGGAUGCCGUCCAGGUUCGACUCCUGGCGCAGGCU
rfam:Halorientalis sp. IM1011, complete genome.